GAUGAAGAACGCAGCGAAAUACGAUAAGUAAUGUGAAUUGCAGAAUUCAGUGAAUCAUCGAAUCUUUGAACGCACAUUGCGCCCCUUGGUAUUCCGAGGGGCAUGCCUGUUCGAGCGUCAUUAUAACCCCUCAAGCUCAGCUUGGUGUUGGGGCCUGCUGCACUGGCAGCCCUUAAAAUCAGUGGCGGCGCCAUCUGGCUCUAAGCGUAGUAAUUCUUCUCGCUAUGGAGUCCUGGUGGAUGCUUGCCAUCAACCCCCAAUUUUUCUAUGGUUGACCUCGGAUCAGGUAGGGAUACCCGCUGAACUUAAGCAUAUCAAUAAGCGGAGGA
rnacentral:misc_RNA from 1 species